rnacentral:lncRNA from 1 species
GGCUUUUGGAGUUGCCGCAGUGGCUGGGACUGCCUGCCCACCAAAUGCAGCUGGGAGCUGCUUACAGUUCCUGCCACAUUUUGGAAGCAGCGAGGAGAGCCUGUGGGUGGUCUUGCUGAAGGAGUCCUGGUCAGACAAUGUGCAGCAGCUGGUUCCCACCUGCAUGUGGGCUCUUCGCAGGUUCCUCAUGACUGCUGUCCUUGGGGAGCCCACAGGCACUCAGGCAUCUUUCCAGGAGUGAAGUUGACUCAGCUCUGCUUUGCCCAGUUUUAUUUAAGGACCGUGACUCCUGCUUCUGAAACAUUAUUCAUGAAUGCUGUUACUGCACUAUCUGCUUUUCCAUCUGUUAGAUGCCAUGGCCUCAGCAGCACAAAUGCCAUAACAGUAGCAGCUGUCAAAGGUCUAUUUAGGCAUCUUCGAAAAGUAGUAAAACCUGAUACCACUGAAGAUAAGCCAAGUUUUAUUACAAUAAAGUUUUCUUUGGGUCUGAUUUUAGAAAUGUUACUACUUAGAGCACCUCUGAAAUUUUACUUUUGAUAGGAGGGAGGUUGUACUCAUCUAUUAUUUUAAGAACAAUUAUUUUCUUAUUCACAGUUUAAACAAUGUUGUGUUACUGUUUAUAACCCAUCUACAAAUAUAUAACCCUCUGUUCUAUCUGUUCUCAGUAUUCUGUUUGGUUGCUUCCCAACUCUGGGAGUUCAUAUGGGAUAAAAGAGGAUCACUUGGACCAAACCCAUGUCUCAUCUUCUGGGUAACCCUUAUGACUUCAUGACUAAUCAAAAGUCUAAUUAAAAGCAUAGCUCACGAAGCAGAAGAUUCCCCAAACCAAGUCCUGUGUAUCACUUAGAAAUGUAAAAUUUCAAUUCUGGAGUGAAUAGUGCAUUUAAAUAUGAAUGAUAAUUGGAGAAACAAAUUAACCUUGUUUAUGCUAACUGAGUAGAUCUGAAGACUCCCUGAAGACAGGUGUCCCAUUAAUAAGCAUAGCCUAAUGGACUGCAGUUCCUUCAGAAGUCUCGUAGUCUCGACCAGGCACAAGGAAACAACCAAAGAAUUCUGCAACUCUGCAGCUCCAUGAUGCUGCACACAGACAAGCUGCGUGUCUGCAGGAGGCCUGGGCACCCCAUCCCUGGUCCUGUCUGCCUUUACACCCCUGUCCCCAUGG